rnacentral:rRNA from 1 species
GCCCAAAAGCUAGCUCUUUAACAACAUCUAACACAAAAAUAUCAACACAUUUUAAUAUACAUAAAUUAUUCAAACAAACCAUUUUCGUACCCUAGUAUAGGCGAUAGAAAAGGACAAAUGAAGCUAUAGAAAAAGUACCGCAAGGGAAUGCUGAAAGAGAAAUGAAACAACCCAGUAAAGCAAAAAUAAGCAGAGAUAAAAACUCGUACCUUUUGCAUCAUGAUUUAGCAAGACUCAAUUAAGCAAAAAGACUUCUAGUUUAAAACCCCGAAACUGAGCGAGCUACUCCGAGACAGCCUGUAUAAUAGGGCAAACACGUCUCUGUGGCAAAAGAGUGUGAAGAUCUCCGAGUAGAGGUGACAAAUCUACCGAGCCCAGUUAUAGCUGGUUGCCUGAGAACUAAAUUAAAGUUUAGCCUUUUCUUUUCUAAAUUUAAUACUGAACAAUCAUACAAAAACUAAAGAAUAGUAAAGAGUUAUUCAUAAAAGGUCCAGCUCUUAUGAACAAGGAUACAACCUUAAAAAGGAGGUUAAUGAACAUAUCCUUUUAAAGUUAAUAUUUAUGUGGGCCUAAAAGCAGCCAUCCAAAAAAGCGUCAAAGCUUAGAUAUUAAGAUACUUCUAAUUAAGAAUAUUUAAUCAUAUACCCCUGUAACUACCAGGCUUUUCCAUUAUAGUGGAAGAAACUAUGCUAAAAUGAGUAAUAAGAGAAAUACCUCUCCUAGCAUCCAUGUAAAUCGGAACGGAACCACCCCCGAAAAUUAACCGGCCCCAAACAAAGAGGGUACUGAAUUAUAAAAAGAUAACUAGAAAAUUAUACAAAAUUUUACCGUUAAGCCUACACUGGUGUGCACAACAAUGGAAAGAUAAAAAGAAAAAGAAGGAACUCGGCAAAUAUAUUAACUAAGCCUCGCCUGUUUACCAAAAACAUCGCUUCUUGACAAAUAAAUAUAAGAAGUCCCGCCUGCCCUGUGACAAAGUUUAACGGCCGCGGUAUUUUGACCGUGCAAAGGUAGCGCAAUCACUUGUCUUUUAAAUAGAGACCUGUAUGAAUGGCAUCACGAGGGCUUAACUGUCUCCUUUUUCCUAUCAAUGAAAUUGAUCUCCCCGUGCAGAAGCGGGGAUCUCCACAUAAGACGAGAAGACCCUAUGGAGCUUAAGCCGCAAGAACAGAACAUGUAACUUUGUUUAAUUAAAAUUCCAAAACUAUUGAAGCCCGUUCAAGUGUCUUUGGUUGGGGCGACCACGGAGUACAGACAAACCUCCAUGAGGAAUGAAGAUAUAUCUUUCCAUCUAAGGGUGACAACCCUAAGAACUAGAAUUUCUAACCAAUUUGAUCCGGCAAAGCCGAUCAACGAACCGAGUUACCCUAGGGAUAACAGCGCAAUCCUCUUUUAGAGUCCAUAUCGACAAGAGGGUUUACGACCUCGAUGUUGGAUCAGGACAUCCUAAUGGUGCAGCCGCUAUUAAGGGUUCGUUUGUUCAACGAUUAAAGUCCUACGUGAUCUGAGUUCAGACCGGAGUAAUCCAGGUCAGUUUCUAUCUAUGAAAUGUUUUAUUCUAGUACGAAAGGAUCGAAGAAAAAAGGCCAAUAAUCUAAUUAAGCCUUCCUCUAAUCUGAUGAAGCCAACUAAAUUAGACAAAAGAACAUAUUUAUAAAGGGGAGAGAACCCUAA